GACGAACGCUGGCGGCGUGCUUAACACAUGCAAGUCGAACGGUAAGGCCCUUUCGGGGGUACACGAGUGGCGAACGGGUGAGUAACACGUGGGUGAUCUGCCUUGCACUUUGGGAUAAGCCUGGGAAACUGGGUCUAAUACCGGAUAGGACUACGCGAUGCAUGUCGUGUGGUGGAAAGCUUUUGCGGUGUGGGAUGGGCCCGCGGCCUAUCAGCUUGUUGGUGGGGUGAUGGCCUACCAAGGCGACGACGGGUAGCCGGCCUGAGAGGGUGUCCGGCCACACUGGGACUGAGAUACGGCCCAGACUCCUACGGGAGGCAGCAGUGGGGAAUAUUGCACAAUGGGCGCAAGCCUGAUGCAGCGACGCCGCGUGGGGGAUGACGGCCUUCGGGUUGUAAACCCCUUUCAGCACAGACGAAGCGUAAGUGACGGUAUGUGCAGAAGAAGCACCGGCCAACUACGUG
rnacentral:rRNA from 1 species